UCCUGCGGGGAGCAAACGAGGUGUCGUGAGGGGCGAAGACCCAGGUCUGUCCCUGAGGACACAGAGGGGAGGCACACCCACCACAGGAGAGCCUCCCGGGACUCCUGAGCCUAGACCCUUCUCUAUAAGCAUGGGGUGCCUGCCAUUCUAUCCUAAGCAGCUACCUAGGGCCCAGACAGCACUCGGGAGGGACCUCUGCUUGAUGGGUAUAGAUCAAAGACACCAUCUUCCAUCUGAUCCUAAGAGCACCCUAGCCCAAGACAGACCAGCAAGACCCUUGGAUACAUGGAGUCCCUCCCGGGACCCAGCUGGCUUUGGAGGUCACGCACGUCUUUGUUUCGGAUCUGCUCCUCUGACAGCUGAACUUGGAUGAGGGGCCGCACGGUGGUGAAGAGCUUCCACCAGGGCCAGUCCUUCACCCCCUUGUUCUUCUUGAUGUUCUUCUGCACACAGCGAAUGGCCAGGUCCUGGAUCUGCAGUUGAGUUUGCCACACGAAUGGACUCUGAGUUCCCCUGGCCAAGCCACUUCCCACCAUCCGCACAGCCCCUGGGUGGGUUCCCCAGGACUCUCGACCCAGAACCAGACCCUUUUCCUGCCCACCUUGGCUCCCACAUUCCCUCUGAGGGUGGGCGGCCCCGGGAGCGGUGCACAGGACGCUCACGUCCCACUGUCAUUAGGAAUAAUUUCAUCUGCUUUAUUUGCUGCCUGAUUAUUUCCAGCACCCUGGCCUGGCUGUGCUAUAAAACCUAAUCUUGCUGAAACACAAGAGGCGGCAGUGCUGGCUGUUUUAUGGACUUGCUAAUAAGAAAAGGAGUCGCUGACACAGCUCCUUAAUCUUCAUAGAGCAGCCCAUGAACCAGAGCCCACCUUUGCCUGGGCCCUGCUUCCCCCCCACACUCCCACAACACGGCACCCUGGCUGGGGCACAUGCCCACACUGCUCAGCACUCAAGCUCGCUUCCCACUCUGGCUCAGGCACGAUGCUCUUGGGGGGGGGGGGGUUCCACCUCCUUCUCGGAUGAAGAUAACUGCUUGGCCUCCCUGGCAUGUAUCCUGCAUGCCCUCCCACAGGUACUCUGCCAUCUAGGCCGAGGCAUCCCUAGAUCAGCACCUUUCUCUUCUUGAAGUGCUGGCGGGCAAGGUAGCCCCGGCAGGCUGCCUGGAACAGGGUCAGGUGCCUGCUGGUUUGCUCGUCUCGUUGUUCUUCCAACCGUGCCAACGUGCCUGCCCGGAAGAACACCUGUCGGGGAAGCAGUCUGGUAAAAGAGGGAGACUAGGCUGGGGCAGCAAAGAGACAAGAUGAGAUGCCAGGGGACAGGCAGAUGGCACAGGGAACCAGCAGCCCAGGAAGUAUGGACCCUGGUUCAAGAACAGCCUGAAAAUCCACUUGCCCGAGAGGAGGGGAAGUGCUCUGGCAGGGCUGCAGGGGAAGGGCCAGGCCAGGCCCAGGUGGAAGCUAACGUCAAAGCGAAGCACACAGAGAGAAGACAGCAGGCCAAGGAGCAGGAAGCCUUCACUGGCCAGACAAAGCCCUUCAGCUACAUCUGUGAUCCUGUCACUGUGCUGGGUGGCAUGCACUGGCCUUAUAGGUGAAGGGAGCAGGGAGAUGGUGACUCUGGCAUCCUUGACAAGGCAAAGGGGUGCUAAGUAUACAUUCACCCUCACCUGGGACAGAGCACAAGGACAUCUCCCUCUUAGGGCCAGUGAGAUGGCUAAGCGACCAAGCCUGACAACCUGAGUUUGAUCCUCAAGACCCACACGGCAGAUGGAGAGAAUGGACUAUCUCAAGUUAUCCUGACCACCACAUAUGUACUGUGGCAUGCAAACAUCCAUAAAUAAACAAAACGAACAAGUAAA